AUGGGCUGGACAUCCCAAGAUCCUGAGGUCAUCAGGGAGUUCCUGAGGAUACUGAUGGAGACAAUGUAGCCGUGAAGAUUAUAUCGUCUGGUCUACAAGGCAGUAACUGGCAAAUUGGAAAGUGUCAAGUGCCCAAGUGAAAACCGAAACAAGGCAGGCAGGAUNUGCGCUGCUAUUUUUAGACUCUGUGGCCAAGAAAGGCUUCUUAACUGAGGAGUUAUACUGAGGAAAGUCUAGAAGCCCGGGAGGACAUCUUUUGGGUGAAGGCAUCAAUAAUAGAACUACGGGAAAGGUGUACGGAAAGAAAGAUACUUGCCUUCUAAAACAGCAGUUGUUACAAUCUCUGAAUUAGUCCUCAUGCUCUAGUGUCUCGGCCGGCUUUGAUGUUUGGUUUUCCAGUUACCCACUUCCUUUCUUCAGCUCUAUUGUGGAGCUUCCCUGGAGCAGCUGUGCUGAGAAGGAAGAUGCUUCUUGACUCCAUUUUGGAAGAGUGGAGAGGCUGUCAUCCAGUCUUCUCUUUUCAGGAAGAUUUCCAGAGGCAGCAAUUCCACUCAACCACGUGUCUGUGUCCUAAGCGCACUCACACAGCAUCUUUACCGACUGGCUGGCAGGAAGGGAGACAGCUCUGAAGGAAAGGAUGUGGUUACUCUUCAAAACCCCAGUUCUGUUAAAGGAUUAAAAAAAAAAUGGUUGCAAAACACAUUCCCAUUACAGUUCAAUAGGUUUGAGCCCAUUGAAACAUGGAGUUUAUGAACAUAUAGUAUGUGUGUGUGUGUUUCUGGGUAUUACUAGAUGCAAGAGGUGGUGUUACAUGCUACGCUUACACGGUCAAUGGUUGUUUAAUGAGAUUAGUACUGUUUUCCAAGAAAAUUAUUCCAUGUUCCUGUAUUGGCUUUCCAGGGCUGCCAUAACCAAGUGUCAUAGACACACUGAAGUUUAUUUCAUAUAGUUCUGAAAGGCCGAGAAUCCAAGGUCAAAGUGUCCUUGGCUUGCAGAUGUCUUCUUGUGUCUUUCCAUGACUUUUUUUUCCUUGCCAGAGAUACUGGAUUUAUGGCCCACCCAGAAUGACUCUAUUAACAUCACCUCUUUUAAAGGCCCUGUCGCCAAAUCCAUCCUCAUUUUUGAAUAAUUGGGGCUAGGGAUUUAAUAUAUAAAGGUUUAUGUGGAAGAAUAGCAGACCUCCGACUUGAAGCCCUUUUGCCUUAACCACCCAUCAAGGACCCGGCAGGUGUACCAUGUGCCUGGCCACUUGUUUGCUUUUCAGAAUUAGUCCCACCUUGGUUCCUUCCUCAAGAUGAAGAACAGCCAACUGUAAAACUAAAGCCUGCUGGGCAGCGCUGGUGGAGUUAAGGUAACUAAAUUUGUUUCUAGGCAUGGAGGGCGUAGCGUAGUGGUGGAGUAAUUUCCUGACAUAAAAGGACUAAAGGAAAA
rnacentral:sRNA from 1 species